GGCCUGAAGGGCAGGGCUGACUCCAGGACCCCCUCCCGCCUCUGCAUCCCCAGCCACAUGGGCCCUGAAGCCAGGACUCUGAGUGACAGCCCAUUGGCACAGACCAGCGCCAUGUGCGUGGGCAAGGCUCUUCAGUGAUGGAGGGGAGGAUACGGCUCUCUGGCUGGCUUGCUGGUUUUUGUGGAUCAGGAAUUCAGAAAUAGUGUCAUGGUUUGAGGUCUCUCACGAGGUGAAAAUCGAGACUCCAUCCCGGCUGUGUCAUCUGAGGGGUUGAGGGCUGGAAGAGUUGCUUCCAAGAUGGCGCACCCCGUGGCUGUGGGCAGGGGGCUGCAGCGUCCUCCCCUGCGGACCUCUCCACGCAGCUGCUCGCGUGUCCUCACAACACGGCCACAGGGCUAGUGACCAAGGAGGGGGCUGCGAUGUCUUUGGUGACCCAGAAGUCACAUUUGCUCAUUUCUACAAUCCUCUCUUGGUGGCACCAGUCAGCUUCACCCAGGCGAGCGGGGACUACGUACGGCGUGGAUGCCCGGAGGUGCUCUGAAACCCCAGGGAACGUUCUAGAGGAAAUACUGCUUUCUGACCACAGGGGGUGCUGUUGCCUCACAAAUGAGCUGCCCAAAAAAAAACGGCUGAUGGAAAAAAAAUUUCUCUCUGCAGUCCAAAGACUCUCGAAGUUUCCAUCUGCAGACAGCUUUGGAAGGGGGCCCGAACCCUGAUGAAUCCUGAGCCUUUCUCCUUCCGGAAUCUCUUUCCCAGGGAAGGCUCCCUCUGUGCUCCCACGGGUUUCGGGGAGAGGAAGAGGCUAUCAGAGGGAGGGAACACUGCAGCACAGCUCACAAUGUGCUACCCACCCACCACUACUAGAGUCCCCAGCUUGUAGGGGGCAACUAAGGAGCUACACUGUGUCCCAACGUAGCAAAGCCUGACCCUGUAACCCCCAGACCACCCCAGCGGGGUGUAUACGAUAGCAGAAAUGGCCCAGCACCUGCCUGAGCUCACAGGCACCCCGUCAGCGAGACAGACACCAUCGUCACCCGUGUCUCUGUGGCUCCAGGACAGAGGACCCCAACCGCUCUACUCUUUGGGGCCCGUGUAGCAGUUGGGCCUUAAGGUCCAGAGUGGCAUUUCUACGCCCCAGCCGCGUGUCUCGUUCUGUUAAGAGGAGUGUGUGUCUGACGGCCUGCGUGGAGAUGUGGCCUGGGCUGCCUCUCCCGGCUGGGCCACAAGGGCCUCUUAAUGCCCGCGCUGCCCUGGAGGGGUCUGGCGUGCACAGAACCCCUGGAGAAGUUUCCAUUAAACCAUCAGUUCUGA